GACGAACGCUGGCGGCGUGCCUAAUACAUGCAAGUCGAGCGGAGAUAGUGGAGCUUGCUCCAUUAUCUUAGCGGCGGACGGGUGAGUAACACGUGGGCAACCUGCCCUGCAGAUCGGGAUAACUCCGGGAAACCGGUGCUAAUACCGAAUAGUUUGCGGCCUCUCAUGAGGCUGCACGGAAAGACGGUUUCGGCUGUCACUGCAGGAUGGGCCCGCGGCGCAUUAGCUAGUUGGUGGGGUAACGGCUCACCAAGGCCACGAUGCGUAGCCGACCUGAGAGGGUGAUCGGCCACACUGGGACUGAGACACGGCCCAGACUCCUACGGGAGGCAGCAGUAGGGAAUCUUCCGCAAUGGACGAAAGUCUGACGGAGCAACGCCGCGUGAGUGAAGAAGGUUUUCGGAUCGUAAAACUCUGUUGUGAGGGAAGAACAAGUACCAACUAACUACUGGUACCUUGACGGUACCUCACCAGAAAGCCACGGCUAACUACGUGCCAGCAGCCGCGGUAAUACGUAGGUGGCAAGCGUUGUCCGGAAUUAUUGGGCGUAAAGCGCGCGCAGGCGGUCCUUUAAGUCUGAUGUGAAAGCCCACGGCUCAA
rnacentral:rRNA from 1 species